GUGCUAGCUUUGGCAGCACAUAUGCUAAAAUUGGAAGAAUACAGAGAAGACUAUCAUGGUCCCUGUGCAAGGAUGGCAUUCAAAUUCAUGAAGCAUUCCACAUUUUG